rnacentral:misc_RNA from 1 species
CCUCCUUAUACGAUUUAGAACUUAUUUGUUCGUAGUGUCCACACAGAUGAUUGUUAGUUAGUUUUACCCUUUGGGUUUAACUGAUUAAUAUGCUCUUUAAAAAUUUGGAAAAGCUGAUAAUAAAAUUCUGAUAAAUACUUCGUAUUUAUCAAGAGUUUUCAAAAGUAAAAAAAGAAUGAUAGCAGUAUCAUUCAGUGCCAAUUUAAUCAUUCAUGAUUAAUUGGUAUCUACUUUAGUAUUCAAUAUUAACUUCUGGCGAAGUUAAACUGUCACUAACAAAGACCCGUUUGGGUUGUAUGGUUAAGUGACUAAGCGUACACGGUGGAUGCCUUGGCAGUUGGAGGCGAUGAAGGACGUAUUAACUCGCGAUAAGCCUAGUCAAGCUAGUAAAAAGCGCUUGAGACUAGGAUUUCCGAAUGGGA